rnacentral:misc_RNA from 1 species
GAUGAAGAACGUAGCGAAAUGCGAUAAGUAAUGUGAAUUGCAGAAUUCAGUGAAUCAUCGAAUCUUUGAACGCACAUUGCGCCCGCCAGUAUUCUGGCGGGCAUGCCUGUUCGAGCGUCAUUACAACCCUCAGGCCCCCGGGCCUGGCGUUGGGGAUCGGCGGAGCCCCCCGUGGGCACACGCCGUCCCCCAAAUACAGUGGCGGUCCCGCCGCAGCUUCCAUCGCGUAGUAGCUAACACCUCGCGACUGGAGAGCGGCGCGGCCACGCCGUAAAACACCCAACUUCUGAAUGUUGACCUCGAAUCAGGUAGGAAUACCCGCUGAACUUAAGCAUAUCAAUAAGCGGAGGA